CCCUACAGUACUUAAUUUACCCAGGAGUAGACUACUUGUAGAUGAAGGUAGACUGAAGGCCAGACUUAGGCAGGAUGAUUGAACAAAAUCUGCUUGCAGAUGGACUACUGAGCAAAAAAAUUGGACUCUCAGGAGGUGAACAGAUGUUCAGCAAGAAAUUCGCACAUCAAAUGCUGUGAAUUAAACUGAUAUCCCCCCCCCCAAAAAAAAAAGAACAGAGAGACCAAUCAUUAACAGCUUGAGACUUGGUGCACAUAACCUUGCCACAGAAAAGGGGAUUUACCUAUAAGCACUCCCUA